rnacentral:rRNA from 1 species
UACGGAGGGGUGCGAGCGUUGUCCGGUGAAUCAUUGGGCGUAAAGGGCGCGUUAGGUGGCGGCUUAAGCGUGCGGUGAAAGCUCGGGCCUCAAGCCCCGAGUCGGCGUGCGAACUGAGUCGCUUGAGCAGCUGUGAGAGGCAGGCGGAAUUCCGGGUGUAGCGGUGGAAUGCGUAGAGAGUCCGGAAGAACACCGGUGGCGAAGGCGGC